ACUCAUCUGUAGGGAAAUUCUUUGGGCUCCUUGAUGUCUUUAGGGCAGCCAAGUCUGAAAAUUAGACAUGAACUUCCCUAAAGCUUAUUUUGGCUCUCACAAGGGCUGCAAUAGAAUGACAAGCAGCAUGCUGCUUUCUUUAUUGUUUCAGUUCAAGGAUUAUCUACAAAGAGUCACAGUCUUGUGCUUAGCAGUACACAAAAAUAUUCAUUUCCUAGCUAUACAGAAAAGUGAUUGAACUGCAGAUGAUUAACAUAUGUUGUGUUUUUUCUGCUAAUGCCUUCCCGUCUUCUCGUGGUGCACCUUCACAAAUGGCAUCAGAGACUUUGCUUCCAAGGAGCAGUGUCCCCCAGAAACCUGUUAUCAAGGCUAGUGCAGAAAAGUUGCUCUUCCUUGCUAGACUGGCUCCAGAAUCCAAACUCAUAAUUGCUGCAGCAGCCUGACCUAUGCCAGUCAAUGCAUUCCAGCUCCUAGCUAUGUUCAAGAAUUGUUUUUUAAAGGACUCCUCUCCAGGGUAAAUGCAGGCUUUUUUUACUCUGAGCGGUUUUGCUAGGACAAAGAGCCCCUUAACAGCGUUCCUUUAAAUGUGCUUCAGUUUUUUAUAAACAAAUCUGGCUGCCACACUUGAUCAUGAUCAGCAGCAUGGAGAUUUUAUCAGCCUGUGUCUGGCACACAGGUGCUGCUGCUGAUUAGAGCACAGCUGAGAUAGGCUGGGUACUCCAAACUGGUAUUUAAACUACCAAAUUCUUCUCUGUCUUGUUUCUGGCUUUAGAGACAAGUUCUGUAGUGUUUUGUGUUCAGAAUUUUGUUCUGAGACUGAGGCAAAGACUAACUCAAGGCAUUCAACCCUGCUGAAUUGUAGUAAUUCUCUGUUUUGCAAUUUUGAUUGCCUAAUCCUUAGAAGAGCAAAUGUCUUCUCAUAUAAAACAGUGGAUGAUAGAGCCAGAAGGAACUGUUGUGAUAAUUUUUUGUCUGACUUAUUGCAUCACACAGGCCAGAGGAAUUUUUAUAUGAAACUGGGACAAGACUUCAAAGGAGACAAAAAAUCUGAUCUUGAUUUAAUCACCAGAUACAGAGAAUCAGCCGGAAUACUUGGUAAAUUUUCCAGCAGCUAAUUGCUGCCAUUGUUAAACAGCUGUUGUACUGUACUUCAUUUCUCUUCUGUCCCCUUUCAAAUUGGGUCAUUUGGCCUUGUUUCACUCUUGUCUGAUGAACUGACAAUUACUUAACUUACAUUGUAUUCCAUGUCUUUGUCCCUAAAAAUUGUGGUCAAGCUUCUCCCUUAACUUUCUUCUUGGUAAACUAAGCAGUAGACCCCUGAAGUCUCUAACUCUAAGGGAAGUUAUUUUGUUUGUGUAAUUAUUAUCUAUUUUUUCUCAGCUAUUGAUAGAUGUUCAUCCAGUUCUAGGCUCCCCAGCACAAGAGAGAGAUGGAGCUACUGGAACAAGGGCAGCCAAGAGCUGCAAAAAUGAAUAAACUGCUGGAGCAUCUUCCCUAUGAGGAAAGGCUGAGAGAGCUGGGACUGUUCAGCUCAGAGAAGAGAAGCCUCAAGGGGGAACAAAUCAAUGUGUACAGAUGCCUGAAGGGAGGGUGCAAAAAGGACAGAACCAGGAUCUUCUCCGUGGUGCCCAGUGGCAGGACAGAGGUGAUGGGAACAACUGGAAAUGCAUCAGGUUCCCUCUGAAUGUCAGAAAAUGCAUUUUUCCUGUGAGGAUGACCAAGCCUUGGCACAGAUUGCCCAGAGAGGUGGUGGAGUCUCCUUCCUUGGGGAUAAUCAGAUCCUACCUGAGGGUGGUCCAGAGCAGCUGCUGUAGGUGGCCCUGACUGAGUGGGGGGGGGGGAGUUGGACCAGACCAGCUCCAGAGGUCUCUUCUAGAGAGUUCUCAACUCUAUUAUUCAGUAAUUCAGAGUCUUUCUUCCAUGGCAGACUAAGAUUUAGCACAGGAUUCUGUGCAGGUGAAGCAGAAUAAAUACCACCUAUUACAGGUGUAGGAAGUGAAGGCAAAGAGAAGUGAGUUGAGCCACAGAGGAAGGCAGUGUCAGAGCCAGACCUGCUUUACCAAUCCUUGCUCUGGCCACAUUGCAAAUGCACAGGUCUUUGUUUCUUCUGAGAAAAAUGAGACCCACCUGUUUCAAGGAUUUUAUUAGAGAAUUUUUAAAUGUUUUAUCUAUUUAUUUCCAAAUGUGUGGGAAUCUGAAGCAAAGAAGGAUAACAUAACUUAUAUAAUGUCAUUCAGGAGCCCAGCCACACACCUAGCUACACACCUUGUCUUUUUAGAAAAGCAAAGAUCCAUCCAUCCCCUCUUGCUAUCAUGGAGAAUCAGGCUUCCUGAGUAGCAAACUCCAUUUGCAAAAGUACUUUUGAGAUGGGUUAAAACCAAACUGGAUGUAUAAAAUUUCCUCCAAACUAAAAGAACAGCAUUAAAAGAAGAGAAAAAGAACUUUAAAGGCAUUCAGGGAUCACAUUUAACUGAAAUGUUUUUCUGUGCCUAUCAAUUUAUGGUUCUGCAGGUUACUCACAAACCACUGACUUAGCUAAAAAGUAUCUAGUCAGGUGAGUGGCAAAAUUUUUCUCUGAAUGCAAUGUCUCAACAAAACUCCAUAGAUUUAUGCUGAUAUAAACCUCUUGAAAAUUGUGCUUUCUCGGCAGACCUAACAGAGGUUAUGAACAGUACUUCUGAAAUCAGCAUUUAAAUAACAUUUCAAAACCACUAGAAACCUCAUUAUCUUGAAAAUAUUGUUUUAGUGGUCACACAAGUAGUGAAAACAGUGUGAAACAAAUGUGUAGCUUGUAACUGGGAAGAAACAACAGUAUUGCCUCAAUACUUUGUUGAUAAACAUCAGUUAGCCACUAGAUACCAGUACGUUCCCUGAAACUUGGUAAGGUAAGAGUAAUCCAGAGGUAAAUAUCCACCCUGUUUAAUGGGAGUUUCUUUCUGAACUUGCCAGAGGUCAUGAUAAAUACAGCUCUUAACAAUACAAGUGAUGCUUUGCUGUUACCCAGGUUUAUCUAGAAAAGCAUAGCUAAUCCUGUAACCAUCAUUAAAUAGAAUUGCAUUUUCCAUUUUAAUUCUGGAAGUGUAAUUCUCAGUCCCUUCAGAAGUGCAUGUCCUCGUGUACAUGUGCAGAUGUUGCUUUUGUAAAUUCUCCCUGACCACAGCUAUGCCAAUCUACAGGAAAGCAGUUCUUUCAAUGUGUGUUUUAAAUGGCUGCUGCCAUUCAUGAAGAAAAGCAAAGUGUGAGGGGCUGUAGCCUGGCCUGGGGAAGGGUAGGGACCUGUGGCCUCUCUUUUCAUGCCCUGUCCAUCGUGGUGAGUGGUCACCAGUGAUUAGAGCAAAGUGGUGCCUUAAACAAGUGAAAAUGUGGAGCUGGGGUAGGAAAGGGGCUGGGGAUUGCAUUUAUGUUGUUGAAGCACAAGUACAAUUUCUGUUCUCCUCGGGUAGAUGCCAAGGGGCUGGCAGGGUUUUGCUGAUGGGUUUUGCAGUGCUCUUGGUCAGUGAAGCACUUCAGCCCUGGAGAAUCACUCCCAGUGGGGCAGGGCUCCUCUCCCUGGGAAACCUGGAAGGUCAUACAGCCUGGGUUUUGGGGAAGUGUCUCCCAUUUGUCCUCCUCACUUCUUUGAAAAGACAUUUCCAUAUUUUGUAACUGACAUUUUCUGUGCCAUUUUCUUCUUUCCUGGGGUCAGAUGGUGACUCCUAACCUAUCCCCUCCUACCUACCCCAGGCUCUUUACUCUGGAUAAAGAGUUUCUGUGAGAAGUCAUUCUUUAAAGUCAAUGAGCUCCCACAGACUUGGCAAAAAUGUUUAGAUCUUAUUUGUUCCACUUUUUAUUUAUUUACCCUCACAGCUAGGUCUUUUAUUAAUUCUUUGUUUUGCCUGUCUCCUUUGCCAGUUUCUGUAGGCUGCAUUUUGUUGGUUUUUUUCCUUUUUUCCCCUUCAGUAUAAAGCAGCAUGAUUCAUUGUAUUUCCUUGGUGAUCUCUCCUGGUCCCUCACCCCAUGUUCUCCACUGAUCAGACCCAUUGGUGAUUAGAUGCUCAGCAGAAGUGAUUUUGCAGCCUUUGACACCUUGCAUCCCCUGCUGCCUGGAUUUCAAAGAGAAAAACAACUUCUGGAUUACCUCACAUGCACUGGCAACAUAAGUAGCAACAGAUUUCCAGAUGAAGAAGCUUGUGUGGAACAUUAAAUGGUUCCAGACAUUGGAAGAUUUCACAGCAAUAGGAGGUCCACAAUUCAAUGGACUUAGCAGCAAAGCUAUGGGCAAGCACUGGACAUAGCUCAUGCCUGAUUGAUUGCAAUGGAAAAUAUGUGGGGACACUUCUGAUUGAGAUUAGGAGAAGCUGGGAGAAAAACUGGGGACAUUGAGUCAAACUGUUGCCAGAAAAAAAGUCCAGCAAGAACUGGAAGGGACAAUCAGAAAAAACUUGCUACUAAUUGUCUUAAACUUUUAGGAUAGGUAGGGAAAUGCAUCAGAAGACGCUGAAGUUUUUUUAUUGUUUUUAUCAGGAGUAACAAGAGGGAACAUUUUUACUCUGUCAUACUCAUAGCUGGCUAAACUCACAGCGCCUAAGGCAGUUCUGUUUUUACUUUUCAGUUGUGUUGUACAGAUCACAUGCUCAUGAAAAGUGAACUGUCAGAGUGGGUAUUGAACAAAAGCACAGCUCCUUGGGUAAACUGGCCUUGAACCUUUGUCAUAGACAAAAUAGGUACAGCGGAAGUAUUUGAGAUAUGAAGCCCCUGCUGGGACACAAGUGGGCUACAGCAGAAUGACAAAAAUCUGAGGAACUUAAAUGGUUUCUGAAGAAGCCUGUGGCUGAGCUACCUGCACUAGAGGUAAAUGGCAAUGCUUCUGUGAGAUACAUAUGGAUUUAUUUAAUUGAGACAGAUCUUGAAUUCUUAAUCCUAAAUUAUUUACCCAGAGCUCUUACCUCCCUCUGUCAGAGAGAGAUAGAUUAAACCAACUUGAAAAAGAAGGUACAUACUGUUUCUGAUGUGAGAAUUAAUGAAAA